ACCAGCACCUCAAGUGGUCAGGAUGAUUAUUGGGCCUAAAGCAUCCGUAGCCUGCUUUGUUAGUUUUCGGUUAAAUCUGUACGCUUAACGUACAGGCUGCCGGGAAUACUGCAAAGCUAGGGAGUGGGAGAGGUAGACGGUACUCGGUAGGAAGGGGUAAAAUCCUUUGAUCUAUUGAUGACCACCUGUGGCGAAGGCGGUCUACCAGAACACGUCCGACGGUGAGGGAUGAAAGCUGGGGGAGCAAACCGGAUUAGAUACCCGGUAGUCCCAGCUGUAAACCAUGCAAACUCAGUGAUGCAUUGGCUUGUGGCCAAUGCAGUGCUGCAGGGAAGCCGUUAAAGUUUGCCGCCUGGGAAGUACGUACGCAAGUAUGAAACUUAAAGGAAUUGGCGGGGAGCACCACAAGGGUGAAGCCUGCGGUUC
rnacentral:rRNA from 1 species